rnacentral:siRNA from 1 species
UCUGGAAUUGUUUGGUCUGCCA